rnacentral:rRNA from 1 species
CCUACGGGAGGCAGCAGUAGGGAAUCUUCCACAAUGGGCGAAAGCCUGAUGGAGCAACGCCGCGUGAGUGAUGAAGGCCUUCGGGUUGUAAAACUCUGUCAUUCGGGACGAACCGGAGUCUGAGGAAAUGCAGACUCUCUGACGGUACCGGAGGAGGAAGCCCCGGCUAACUACGUGCCAGCAGCCGCGGUAAUACGUAGGGGGCAAGCGUUGUCCGGAUUCACUGGGCGUAAAGCGCGCGCAGGCGGUGAUGUAAGUCUGAGGUGAAAACCCGAAGCUCAACUUCGGGACUGCCUUGGAUACUGCGUCACUUGAGGAUAGGAGAGGCAAGGGGAAUUCCACGUGUAGCGGUGAAAUGCGUAGAGAUGUGGAGGAACACCUGUGGCGAAGGCGCCUUGCUGGCCUAUUUCUGACGCUGAGGCGCGAAAGCGUGGGGAGCAAACAGGAUUAGAUACCCUGGUAGUCCACGCUGUAAACGAUGAGUGCUAGGUGUAGGUGGGCUCAUACCCAUCUGUGCCGAAGCUAACGCAUUAAGCNCNCCGCCGNGGGAGGUACGGUCGCGAGACGUAGAAACGUACGAAGUAGAAGUUAGACGGACGUUGAGGACGUUAGCCGACGGACGACGACGAGGGGAGGUAGGGAG